GCGAGGAUGGUGGAAUUGGUAUACACGUACGUUUGAGGGGCGUAUGCUUCGGCUUGGGGGUUCGAGUCCCCCUCCUCGCACCA
rnacentral:tRNA from 1 species